UCUCGAUUGGUCUAGUGGUGAGGAUACCUGCUUGUCAUUCAUCAGAUGAUACGUAAUCCACGAUCGUGGACAUUAGUAGCCAUCUCAAGAGCGAGCCGCAGGUGGCCGGGGUUCGAUUCCCCGAUCGAGAG